rnacentral:rRNA from 1 species
GACGAACGCUGGCGGCGUGCUUAACACAUGCAAGUCGAACGGAAAGGCCCUGCUUUUGUGGGGUGCUCGAGUGGCGAACGGGUGAGUAACACGUGAGUAACCUGCCCUUGACUUUGGGAUAACUUCAGGAAACUGGGGCUAAUACCGGAUAGGAGCUCCUGCUGCAUGGUGGGGGUUGGAAAGUUUCGGCGGUUGGGGAUGGACUCGCGGCUUAUCAGCUUGUUGGUGGGGUAGUGGCUUACCAAGGCUUUGACGGGUAGCCGGCCUGAGAGGGUGACCGGCCACAUUGGGACUGAGAUACGGCCCAGACUCCUACGGGAGGCAGCAGUGGGGAAUAUUGCACAAUGGGCGGAAGCCUGAUGCAGCAACGCCGCGUGCGAGAUGACGGCCUUCGGGUUGUAAACCGCUUUCGCCUGUGACGAAGCGUGAGUGACGGUAAUGGGUAAAGAAGCACCGGCUAACUACGUGCCAGCAGCCGCGGUGAUACGUAGGGUGCGAGCGUUGUCCGGAUUUAUUGGGCGUAAAGGGCUCGUAGGUGGUUGAUCGCGUCGGAAGUGUAAUCUUGGGGCUUAACCCUGAGCGUGCUUUCGAUACGGGUUGACUUGAGGAAGGUAGGGGAGAAUGGAAUUCCUGGUGGAGCGGUGGAAUGCGCAGAUAUCAGGAGGAACACCAGUGGCGAAGGCGGUUCUCUGGGCCUUUCCUGACGCUGAGGAGCGAAAGCGUGGGGAGCGAACAGGCUUAGAUACCCUGGUAGUCCACGCUGUAAACGGUGGGUACUAGGUGUGGGGUCCAUUCCACGGGUUCCGUGCCGUAGCUAACGCUUUAAGUACCCCGCCUGGGGAGUACGGCCGCAAGGCUAAAACUCAAAGGAAUUGACGGGGCCCCGCACAAGCGGCGGAGCAUGCGGAUUAAUUCGAUGCAACGCGUAGAACCUUACCUGGGUUUGACAUGGAUCGGGAGUGCUCAGAGAUGGGUGUGCCUCUUUUGGGGUCGGUUCACAGGUGGUGCAUGGCUGUCGUCAGCUCGUGUCGUGAGAUGUUGGGUUAAGUCCCGCAACGAGCGCAACCCUUGUUCACUGUUGCCAGCACGUUAUGGUGGGGACUCAGUGGAGACCGCCGGGGUCAACUCGGAGGAAGGUGGGGAUGACGUCAAGUCAUCAUGCCCCUUAUGUCCAGGGCUUCACGCAUGCUACAAUGGCUGGUACAGAGAGUGGCGAGCCUGUGAGGGUGAGCGAAUCUCGGAAAGCCGGUCUCAGUUCGGAUUGGGGUCUGCAACUCGACCUCAUGAAGUCGGAAUCGCUAGUAAUCGCAGAUCAGCAACGCUGCGGUGAAUACGUUCCCGGGGCU